UACUACCGAAGCUACGGCAUCAGUAAUGAUGGCUAGGGGAGCGUCCCGCACGGGUUGAAGCAUGACCGUAAGGACAUGUGGACAGUAUGGGAGGGAGAAUGUGNGCAUGAGUAGCGAGAUGUGGGUGAGAAUCCCACAGGCCGUAAACCCAAGGUUUCCAGGGGAAGGUUCGUCCGCCCUGGGUUAGUCGGGACCUAAGCUGAGGCCGAAAGGCGUAGGUG
rnacentral:rRNA from 1 species